rnacentral:rRNA from 1 species
ACGCACGCUGGCGGCGUGCUUAACACAUGCAAGUCGAACGCGCCUGUCCUCUGGGUUUCUGGGGGGUGGGUGAGUGGCGAACGGGUGAGUAACACGUGAGUAACCUGCCCCCUUCUUCGGGAUAACGGUCUGAAAGGGCUGCUAAUACCGGGUAUUCACUGGUCUCCGCAUGGGGUCUGGUGGAAAGGUUUUUUUCUGGUGGGGGAUGGGCUCGCGGCCUAUCAGCUUGUUGGUGGGGUGAUGGCCCACCAAGGCUUUGACGGGUAGCCGGCCUGAGAGGGUGACCGGUCACAUUGGGACUGAGAUACGGCCCAGACUCCUACGGGAGGCAGCAGUGGGGAAUAUUGCACAAUGGGCGCAAGCCUGAUGCAGCGACGCCGCGUGAGGGAUGGAGGCCUUCGGGUUGUGAACCUCUUUCGCCCGUGGUCAAGCCGCGACGUGGGUCGUGGUGAGGGUAGUGGGUAAAGAAGCGCCGGCUAACUACGUG